rnacentral:rRNA from 1 species
CCUACGUGUGGCUGCAGUGAGGAAUAUUGGUCAAUGGGAGAGAUCCUGAACCAGCCAAGCCGCGUGAGGGAAGACGGCCCUAUGGGUUGUAAACCUCUUUUGUCGGAGCACAAAACCCGGGACGUGUCCCGGACUGCGUGUAUCCGAAGAAAAAGCAUCGGCUAACUCCGUGCCAGCAGCCGCGGUACUACGGAGGCUGCGCGGGGUAUCCGGAUUUCGUGGGUUUAAAGGGUGCGUGGGCGGUCCGUUAAGUCAGCGGUAAAAGUGCGGGGCUCACCCCCGUCGAGCGGUUGAAACGGGCAGACUGGAGUUGGGGAGAGGUACGGGGAGGGCGCGGUGUAGCGGUGAAAUGCAGAG